rnacentral:rRNA from 1 species
ACUUUUUAAUUGAGAGCUCUUUCUAGAUUCUAUGGGUGGUGGUGCAUGGCCUUUCUUAGUUGGUGGAAUGAUUUGUCUAGUUAAUUUUGUUAACGAAUGAGACUUCAGCCUACAAACUAGCUAUGCGGAGGUACCCCUCCGUGGCCAGCUUUUUAGAGGGACUACCUCCUUUUAGGCCAUGAAAGUUUGAGGCAAUAAUAGGUCUGUGAUGCCCUUAGAU